GGUCUGCUGGCAGGUGUAGUGAGGCAAGAGAUGGCAGUGGAGCUUGUAGAAAGUAUUCAUAGGUAAUGGGACCACGGGAGGGAGGCACUGUGUUGUGUCUCCCCAGUACCCCGCUCCCCCUUCACACAUACACAGAACAGAGGUUUGGGGCAGAAGAGCAGUGGCCACUACAAGAGGAACAGGGCUCCGGAGUCUGUCUGGAGGUGGAUGCCCAGAAGUCCAGUGCUUCCGAUUUUCUCCCAAGGGGCUCUGACAAGGUUCUGUCUUCCAACCCGUGAUUAAACCUCUGGACUCUCCUGAUAAGUUCUCUCUGCAUUUUGAUGGCGGAGUGUUUUGGCCAUGUCCUCUGCAUUUGAUAUGAAAGCUGCCAUCUUCGGUAGGUCAUUUCUCUACCAGCCUUGCCAGACCAGAGUGAGUUGUAUCUUCCUGGGGCAAGUAUGAGAAGUUCAUGAUGAACAG